GCCGCUCUCUGCCGAGUCCAGCGCCAGCAUGGCCAGGUCGUACAGCGGUGCCGGCGUCUGGUAAACAUCACCGUCAGUAAAGGUUCUGAUUGGUUCUGAUCCGUCAGUAAAGGUUCUGAGUGGUUCAGACUCGACUUACAGACAGUCUGAGGACGCCGAAGUUCCCAAAGUCAAAGAUGAGAAUUUGGUAGAAAAGCUCCCGACUGCAACACAAACAAAGGAGUUUUCUUUAAGUAAAAUCUGAAAAGUGCGGCAUGCUUUCAUUUUUUGACCCACUGAGUCAUCACUAUGUAGCACUAUUAAAGGUACAUUAAUUAAAGGUGCUACUCUUUGUAAAAACAUAUAUUUUCAGGUCUUCCAUGGAUUCUCAAUUAAAUUUAGCCUGGACUUUGACUAGGCCACUCUGA